rnacentral:rRNA from 1 species
AUUGAACGCUGGCGGCAUGCCUUACACAUGCAAGUCGAACGGCAGCAUGAUCUAGCUUGCUAGAUUGAUGGCGAGUGGCGAACGGGUGAGUAAUACAUCGGAACGUGCCCUGUAGUGGGGGACAACUAGUCGAAAGAUUAGCUAAUACCGCAUACGACCUGAGGGUGAAAGUGGGGGACCGCAAGGCCUCAUGCUAUAGGAGCGGCCGAUGUCUGAUUAGCUAGUUGGUGGGGUAAAGGCCCACCAAGGCGACGAUCAGUAGCUGGUCUGAGAGGACGAUCAGCCACACUGGGACUGAGACACGGCCCAGACUCCUACGGGAGGCAGCAGUGGGGAAUUUUGGACAAUGGGGGCAACCCUGAUCCAGCAAUGCCGCGUGUGUGAAGAAGGCCUUCGGGUUGUAAAGCACUUUUGUCCGGAAAGAAAUCGCACUUACUAAUAUUAGGUGUGGAUGACGGUACCGGAAGAAUAAGGACCGGCUAACUACGUG